rnacentral:rRNA from 1 species
UACGUAGGGGGCAAGCGUUGUCCGGAUUUAUUGGGCGUAAAGAGCGUGUAGGCGGCCAUGCAGGUCCGUUGUGAAAACUCGAGGCUCAACCUCGAGACGCCGGUGGAAACCGUGUGGCUAGAGUCCGGAAGAGGAGAGUGGAAUUCCCGGUGUAGCGGUGAAAUGCGUAGAGAUCGGGAGGAACACCGGCGGCGAAGGCGGCUGCCUGGACCAGUCCUGACGCUGAGGCGCGAAAGCUGAGGGGAGCAAACAGGG